rnacentral:lncRNA from 1 species
AAUGAUCAAGAACUGUCAAUCAAUGUCAUUUAACAGUCUAAUGUGUCUGUAAUGCCCUCAAGUCAUAAUACAUUUAUCACACAAUCAUUGUCCUUGAAUAAAACAUCAAAAGUGUGUAACAGCAAAUUAGCGUGUGCAGGUUACAACACUUGAUUAGUGCUCACUGUUACUAUGAAAUGCAAUUAUUGAUUUUUCCCAACGGCAAAAGUUCACAUUAGUUUUAUUGAGUAUUGUCAAUUAUAAAGUGACAUUUGUAUAAUUUUUUCUAAACUUAAAAACCACGAAAAUUAAUCCCCAAGAACUUACUUUUGGAUACAAAACCACGAAAUUUUAACCCCA